UACGUAGGGUGCGAGCGUUAAUCGGAAUUACUGGGCGUAAAGCGUGCGUAGGCGGUUCGUUAAGUUCGUUGUGAAAGCCCCGGGCUCAACCUGGGAACUGCAAUGGAAACUGGCGGGCUUGAGUAUGGCAGAGGGGGGUGGAAUUCCGCGUGUAGUAGUGAAAUGCGUAGAGAUGCGGAGGAACACCGAUGGCGAAGGCAGCCCCCUGGGCCAAUACUGACGCUCAGGCACGAAAGCGUGGGGAGCAAACAGG
rnacentral:rRNA from 1 species